UAGGGAAUCUUCCACAAUGGACGAAAGUCUGAUGGAGCAACGCCGCGUGAGUGAAGAAGGGUUUCGGCUCGUAAAGCUCUGUUGGUAGUGAAGAAAGAUAGAGGUAGUAACUGGCCUUUAUUUGACGGUAAUUACUUAGAAAGUCACGGCUAACUACGUGCCAGCAGCCGCGGUAAUACGUAGGUGGCAAGCGUUGUCCGGAUUUAUUGGGCGUAAAGCGAGUGCAGGCGGUUCAAUAAGUCUGAUGUGAAAGCCUUCGGCUCAACCGGAGAAUUGCAUCGGAAACCGGGCGACUUGAGUGCAGAAGAGGACAGUGGAACUCCAUGUGUAGCGGUGGAAUGCGUAGAUAUAUGGAAGAACACCAGUGGCGAAGGCGGCUGUCUGGUCUGCAACUGACGCUGAGGCUCGAAAGCAUGGGUAGCGAACAGG
rnacentral:rRNA from 1 species